rnacentral:rRNA from 1 species
UAGCCGUAAACGAUACUCGCUAGGUGUCGGCCACGGUGCGACCGUUGUCGGUGCCGUAGGGAAGCCGUGAAGCGAGCCACCUGGGAAGUACGGCCGCAAGGCUGAAACUUAAAGGAAUUGGCGGGGGAGCACAACAACGGGUGGAGCUUGCGGUUUAAUUGGAUUCAACGCCGGAAAUCUUACCGGGACCGACAGGCAACAUGAAGGCCAAGCUGAAGACUUUGCCGGAUUAGCUGAGAGGUGGUGCAUGGCGUAGUCGUGU